rnacentral:rRNA from 1 species
GAUGAACGCUGGCGGCGUGCCUAAUACAUGCAAGUCGAGCGAACAGACGAGGAGCUUGCUCCUCUGACGUUAGCGGCGGACGGGUGAGUAACACGUGGAUAACCUACCUAUAAGACUGGGAUAACUUCGGGAAACCGGAGCUAAUACCGGAUAAUAUAUUGAACCGCAUGGUUCAAUAGUGAAAGACGGUUUUGCUGUCACUUAUAGAUGGAUCCGCGCCGCAUUAGCUAGUUGGUAAGGUAACGGCUUACCAAGGCAACGAUGCGUAGCCGACCUGAGAGGGUGAUCGGCCACCCUGGAACGGAGACACGGUCCAGACUCCUAAGGGAGGCAGCAGUAGGGAAUCUUCCGCAAUGGGCGAAAGCCUGACGGAGCAACGCCGCGUGAGUGAUGAAGGUGUUCGGAUCGUGAAACUCUGUUAUUAGGGAAGAACAAAUGUGUAAGUAACUAUGCACGUCUUGACGGUACCUAAUCAGAAAGCCACGGCUAACUACGUG